GACGAACGCUGGCGGCAUGCCUAACACAUGCAAGUCGAACGGAGAUUAUUUCGGUAAUCUUAGUGGCGAACGGGUGAGUAACGCGUAGGCAACCUGCCCUUUAGUUGGGGACGAACAUCCCGAAAGGGGUGCUAAUACCGAAUGUGACAGUUUUUCCGCAUGGGAUUACUGUGAAAGAUGGCCUCUAUUUAUAAGCUAUCGCUAAAGGAUGGGCCUGCGUCUGAUUAGCCUAGUUGGUGGGGUAACGGCCUACCAAGGCGACGAUCAGUAGCCGGUCUGAGAGGAUGGAACGGCCACAUUGGGACUGAGACACGGCCCAGGACUUCCUACGGGAGGCAGCAGUGGGGAAUCUUCCGCAAUGGGCGAAAGCCUGAC
rnacentral:rRNA from 1 species